GGGUCAAAGGUCGGGCGGGUGCGCAUACACAGAGAGGAAGCACAUGCACCAAGUGAUCAGAGGCUGCUAAGAUGAUGUGUUGCUUCGUUCCUCAAGAAAGAGAUGUAGCAAAGGAAGCAGAACAAUAAAGAAAUACUGAAAGAGAGAGGAUGCUGAAUUACCGCAGCGAGUGGAACAGAGGCUACCUCGGAUCCAAGGGGGAACAGCAGCCGCCCAGGCCUCUGACUCUCGAGCAGACUCCUCACUCCCUCCCUCAGCUCCUGCUGCUGCCAUUUCGCCACCUAAUGGUGCGGCUCCUCCCGAGGCUCCCAAGUCCCCAGGCAACACCCUGGUUUCCCGUGACGAUGCCCUCGUGUCGUGUGACACCGACAUGGCCUCCUCUGCUGUGGUUGCUGCAGCUGGUGAGAGGGUGUCCCCAAUCUUUCAAAGUAGAGAACAGUGAACAUAAGGGAACUAAAAAGGCAAAGCAGUACCUAAAAUGUCAAACUUAAAAGGACAUUAAAGACACACCAUGCUUACCGUUGCACUUUGUGCUCGUUCAGGCUCUUGUGUGCCAGUUGCAGAAGACUGAUCUCUCUGUGAAAGAAUGUCAUCUAAUAUUUAUUAGCCAUUUCAGACGUGCCGUCCAAAGUAAGAGGAUAUGUCACAGCCAUCAGAUAAGACAGAUUGCUUCCUCUGCAUAUAACAUGUGCAUUUCGUUCCUCAGUAAAAAAUCUUAAGUCUCAAAUUACAGAAACACAGUUUGGGAAAACUUGGGAGUGUAACUGACAGCCUCAGGCCUGAGCGGUUAUAUCAUGCAAGUGAGGCUUGCAGGUUUGAUUUCCUCCAACAGGCAACGUGUCCAUCCAUACUCUGGGGGGAAACCACAGAUACUGAGCUGAAAUGUAAUGUAAAUGUUCAAAAAUAAACGUUACCUGUGUGUGAACUAUGUAGUUCUGGAUCUGCUCCUGUGUGAUGGGGAUGUGCUCCAGAAUGACCUGCAGCCUCAUCGUCAUCAUACUGGUCAUCCAGUUGACCAGGCUGGGGCUGAUGUCACUGGACAUCCUCCGCUGGAACAACAAGAGAAAAUAAACUUUUUACUUUACAGGCAAACAGCUGUUUAUUCUGUAUUUAGUCUUUUUGGCAUCAUUCUUGUUUGGAUUGCUUAAACGUUUAGCAGCAUUUUUUGAGUCUCCUUUUUCUUAGUCAUUCCUUCGAGCGCCACAAGAACCUUGCAAAGACGCAAUAAUUAACUGCUGUAGUCUUUUUGCUUGUAAUGUUGCCAUUUUGUACUUGAGGGUUGCUCUUGUUGAGUCACGCUGAAUAAACUGUCAAAAUCUA